rnacentral:rRNA from 1 species
CAGCAGUCGCCGCGGUAAUACGAAGGGUGCAAGCGUUACUCGGAAUUACUGGGCGUAAAGCGUGCGUAGGUGGUGGUUUAAGUCCGUUGUGAAAGCCCUGGGCUCAACCUGGGAAUUGCAGUGGAUACUGGGUCACUAGAGUGUGGUAGAGGAUAGUGGAAUUUCCGGUGUAGCAGUGAAAUGCGUAGAGAUCGGAAGGAACAUCUGUGGCGAAGGCGACUAUCUGGGCCAACACUGACACUGAGGCACGAAAGCGUGGGGAGCAAACAGGAUUAGAGACCCCCGUAGUCCCUGUCUCUUAUAC